rnacentral:ncRNA from 2 species
UGGUCGACCAGCUGGAAAGU